rfam:Tribolium castaneum strain Georgia GA2 unplaced genomic scaffold scaffold_seqid1259, whole genome shotgun sequence.
GGCAACGUCCAUACCACGCUGAAUACACCAGUUCUCGUCUGAUCACUGAAGUCAAGCAGCGUCGGGCGCGGUUAGUACUUGGAUGGGUGACCGCUUGGGAACCCUUUUCAUGGCCCGUUGCCU